rnacentral:rRNA from 1 species
CACGUAGGGGGCGAGCGUUGUCCGGAUUUAUUGGGCGUAAAGAGCUCGUAGGCGGCUCGGUAAGUCAGGUGUGAAAACUCUAGGCUCAACCUAGAGACGCCACCUGAUACUGCUGUGGCUAGAGUCCGGUAGGGGAGCAUGGAAUUCCUGGUGUAGCGGUGAAAUGCGCAGAUAUCAGGAGGAACACCAAUGGCGAAGGCAGCUCGCUGGGACGGUACUGACGCUGAGACGCGAAAGCGUGGGGAGCGAACAGG